GCUCUUUACUUCGUCUGUUGGAGGAAGCACCGCACUGCCCCUUCUGCUCUCGCACCCUUUUUCCACCUCCGCGUCCCCACGUUCCAGACCCUCGUCACUGCAUCCUCGGCUUUGCGCGCGUUUUUCUUUUUUCUUUUUGCGCGUGUGUGUGUGCGCAAGUCCGCGCAUUCAACAGCUCGCCUUGAUCUAGUAGGAAUCCAUCACUGAACCAUCAGAAGGAAACAGGUAUCAUGUCUCGUUGCACGAACAAGAUAUCCGGUGGCACGGCUCGCGCCAACCUGGUGGACCACGGUGUCUAUGUGAAGCCGAUGAGCUUAAACCCCUUUCUCGGCGCCGUUCACGAUGGCACUAGCACCGGCUACUGCCAGGGCUACUCGGCCAAGCCGAUGCAUUGGCUUUACCGCUUCCGCUACAACGUGCUGCCACAGGGCAUUUCUUGCGGCUUCUUCUCGCGCAACCCGUACGGCCGCUACGUGCACUGGCUUGAGGUGAGCACGAUCGAGAAGAUACGAAUGCAGCUGCAGUCGGUGGAGUCGAUGCCGGUCUCGGUGUUGGUGACGCUUGUCGUGAUCUACUCCCUGUGGUUUUCGUACCGCCUCACCUUUCUGCACCCCGACAUCACGCUAUACAACCUUGGCCUAUGGUCCACGAAGCCGUGGGUGCAGCAGCAGCGCUUCAACAAGAAGAUCGACAUUGACCAGCAGGUCUACCGCUGGGUACACCGCGUGCCGGAGUUUUCAAUAACGGACCCGAUCCGUGAGAUAUACAAACUGGAGAUCGGGGCGAACGAGCCGUAUCUGGAGCACGUGCGCGGUAUGGGCCGCGAGAAGGAGCUUACGCUAUACGCGAACGAGCGCACCGAGGGGGCUGGCAGCAUCCGUCCUCUCAACAUCCGCCAUGAGGACCUCAGCGGCCACAACCCGGGUCCGCUGAUGUCCGGCCACGGUGUGUAAGGGCGCGCAGAGAGACCUCUCGCCUAAAGAUUGCACGUGUCCUCCCUCCUCUCCCUUCACACACACACACACACGUUCCCUCGACUUCUUUUAUACCACAGCACGUUCGCCCUUCGGCAGGCGUAGCCGCUUCUUGCGAUGCCAGUUUUUUUUUUUUUUGGUCCAGCUUAUGUGCUCGGGGAUGUGCGAUGCCGUUUUGUGCUUCUUGUUGCGUGCUUCGGCGACACAGACAGGCAGCCACAGACAGACCCGUACCAUACACGCGUACAUGCCCCGCUGCGUCGUAUCGCUUGCCAAGCGCUUUCUUUUUCGUGAUUUACUGAAGCGCUUCGUGUCAGUGGCCUCACGCUCUCCCUUCCGCUUCUACCUUUUAGUGUGUUCGUUUCUGUCGCUCUCCUUUUCCUACGCGUUCCUUGUGAACGGUGAUACAAGACGGACACGCCUAUCUCUUUCUCUCUCCGUGUUCUCCGCUUUUCAAGCCCCCUCCUCUCCUUCUCUCCUCCCACCUUCUUGUUCUCCCUCCCACGCUCUUGGGUGCCGUCUACAUUGCUCUGCCGCGACUUUGCCCCCUUUCCUUUUUUUGUUAUGUGAGCACACCGGCCAACACGCAGACUUUCAUGAGCGGCGGAAAUGUGCCGUUGUGCAAAUGAGCACCCACGCACACACAGACACGGACAGACGUGUGUGUGGGCGCAGGGCGUAGGAGAGGGGAGGGGGGAGGGGCCGUAAUCGCGGCAAGGGGUGGAGAAGCCCCCGCCCCCCGAAUGGGAGACGGAACCGCUCCGUUGUGGGCGGGAAGGAGGCAAGAUGAAGCAAAGUUGCAAGACACACGACACCACUUCCUCUCGCACACCCAGUGCGAUACGGGCCCGACCUCACAUACGCACUCACGCGCAGAGGACGGAGACUGUCAGUUAGAGCAUCAUGUCACCAAAAAGAGUCGAUCGCGACGAGGACAGAUGGCCCCGCGGCCCGGCCGGCAGGGGACGGAUGCAAGGAGUAGGUGGGCAGAUGGGAGACCGCUACAAAACUCUUUUUUUUUCGUUGUUCUCUUUCACUUUUUCUCGUUUACGUAGGAUAGCCAUUCCCUUUUCUCCUUUUCUCUAGCAGUCAACCGUCUCCUCUUCCCUGCCUUACCUCUCCUUGACUAUACCCUCCCCCCCCCACCACCACCACCAUCACCUCACGCCCGCCUCCUGCUCGCGCUUCCUCGCCUUUUGCUGUUCGAUCCCAAAAUGAUCCGUUGUUUGCCCGCCCUUCCCCAGCGCGCUAGCGGUAGUGCUCUCUGUCUCCGUCUCUGCCUAUGUACUUUUGUGUCUCGGCGCGUUGGCACGUGUGCGUGCGUGUAACUGUGUGUGUGUGUCCGCGUGAGUAUCCCCCCUUUUUCUUCUCUUCGCUUGCGCCUCGUAUGUUUCGUGUGCUUGCACGCGCGUGCUCAGUGUUGCUCAUUUUAGUUUGUGGCGUUCAUCUGCGUUUUCUCUUCGAACUUAUCUGCGUAGCCAUCACUUUUCUCCCCCCCCCCAUUGUCUUCUCUGUUUGCCUUAUCACCACCACCACGACCACCGCCGCCUCCCCCUUCUCUCGGUACGCGCAGAUUGUGUCGGUGUGUGCGUGAGUGUGUGUCUCGUUAUUUUAGCUUCACCUCUCCCACUGCCUCUCGUCAUGUUGUUUGCUGUCAUUUCUCUUACGUCCACUUAUUUCCGUUUUUCCUUUAUCAUGUUUCGUGAUGGAUCUUUUCCAUUCUUCUAUAUCGCCUACCCCCCCCCCCUCCCUCCCUCCACCCUCCCUCCCUCCCUCGCCCACAAGACAAGGUAAAACUUAGAGGAUUCGAGAUUUCUAUAUAUACACAUAUAUAUGCAUGUACGUGGGAUGGAUAGUGAUGGGCGGGAGAACGAUCGGAAGAAAGAGGUGCCGAGGCGGUGCACAGAGAUGUCGCACAUGUGUGAACAUUGACGUACACCUAGAGAGACAUCAUUCUGCCUGCCUUGCCACCCUCCUCCACCCUUGCUCGUGCUGCUGUGCCCCACACGGAUGAUGUGCAUGUUGCACGGGUGCUGACGGCGACAGCGGACAUAGGUGCUGGUGACUAGCCGCAUUGCUCUUCCCUCUCUCGCACACGGCUUUGCAGGUGGACUUCUGCGCCGCGCUAUUUCGUGUGCCGCGCCCGUGUCCCGUACCGAUUCGCGCAUCGGACCGGCGUGCACAGUCUUCUCCGUUUCUUUCUCUUCUCCAGGAGAAACUCCUGACACGCAAUCUUUUCCUUUAGCACUUGCCUUCGUCAACAUACAACGCGGAGAAUACGCCAGCAUGUGUGCAGUGCAACAGCAAGCGAGCUC
rnacentral:misc_RNA from 1 species